rnacentral:rRNA from 1 species
GAAUCUUGCGCAAUGGGCGAAAGCCUGACGCAGCCAUGCCGCGUGAAUGAUGAAGGUCUUAGGAUUGUAAAAUUCUUUCACCGGGGACGAUAAUGACGGUACCCGGAGAAGAAGCCCCGGCUAACUUCGUGCCAGCAGCCGCGGUAAUACGAAGGGGGCUAGCGUCGCUCGGAAUUACUGGGCGUAAAGGGCGCGUAGGCGGACAUUUAAGUCAGGGGUGAAAUCCCAGAGCUCAACUCUGGAACUGCCUUUGAUGCUGGGUGUCUUGAGUGUGAGAGAGGUAUGUGGAACUCCGAGUGUAGAGGUGAAAUUCGUAGAUAUUCGGAAGAACACCAGUGGCGAAGGCGACAUACUGGCUCAUUACUGACGCUGAGGCGCGAAAGUGUGGGGAGCAAACAG